AAUAGCCUCCUUUCUCCCUUCUCCUCUUUUCCUUCUAUCCACCAUACCCAAAUCAAAAGACCUAGAUUUGCCACGUCACCCCCAUAGCUGCACCUCCUCUGCCAAUAUUCUCCUAUUUUUAACCAUCCAAGCUUGUGAAUUUGUGAGAAUCAAAGGAAAAAGACCCAAUUCGAUGUUUGAUAUCAAUUUCUCCAUUAAUGGCCUGGAAAAAGAAUAGAUUUAUUACAGAAUUUCAUAUCAAUUUUUAAACCAAGUCGUCUUCUCAUCACUCUUGCUUAAAUCAAGUUUCAAAUCUGAAAUUUCAAGUAUUUAUUUCACCUAUAAAUAUGAGUAUUCUUCACCCAUUGGGGGAGAGGUUUUGAAGGACGAAAAAAGGGGGAAGAAGCAAAAAACAAGUCUUGAGAAAUAAAAUUGUGAAAAAAAAAGGGCGGACAAUCUUUGAGAGAAAAUAAAGGUUCAAGAUUAAGGUGGAAAAUUAGAGGAAAAUAAGCUUGAAAGGUUAGGAUUUCAAAAAUAAAUAAAUAGAGAAAGCAGAAGCAAAACACAAGAGAAUUAAAAGAAAAGAGAGAAAGCAGCCUGUUCUGAAAAUCUUAACAAGGUCUAGUAUUGCAAUAUCUGGCUUUAUUUUUAGCUUGGUGUUAAAUUUGGUGAUUUCUAUUUGAGUUCGAAGUCGGUGGAAUCUUGACAUGAAAGCCCCGGCUUUGCUGCACCAAAAAAGGUGUGAGUCUACUUUCAUCUCUUUUCCCCUCAUCUAUUUGGUCUCAGCGAUAUAUGAUCUUUUAAUUUAUAAGCAUAUUUUCUUGUUGUCCUUUUUUGGUAAAUAUGAGUUUUAGUCCAAAAAUGAAAAAAUAUUUUCAUACGUGAAUAUCAAGAUCUAUAAAUAUGUGUGUUUACUUCACUGGGGUGCUGCUAGUCAUUUUUAUUUACUCAUUAUUUAUUUAGACAAGAGUUACUAUCCCUUACAUGCUAUAUUUUGUGAUUUGUUCCCACUGACGGAAAGCAAGAUGACGUGAGAAUCAUCAUUUGUUUCCCCGUUCGGAUGUGUUUUGUGAAUACGGGAUCCCAUCGACAUUGUUGUUGUUAUUCUGGUGUUAUGAAUAAGAACAUGAUAAUAUUUUAUUUGGUGUAGGCAUAUCAAAAUAUGGCUAAAAAUUAUUAUUUCCUUAUAUCCAAGUCGAAUCCGUGAGUACAUUCUAUUUGCGAAAUUGAGUUAUGUGUGUUUUUUUUUUGGAUAAUUGAUAUGUGCGUCACAGUCUAUUCUUUACAAAUCAAAGUUUUAAAGGAGCAAUUCUAUUUUGGCAUCAGAAGUAUAUGAAAGGAAAAGGCCAAAUAGUUGCUCACUUUACUUUUUGUAUUAAAAAAGGGAGUCGUUUUUUUCUUCAUCAACUAUAUUUGAAGCCUUAUGGAAUUUUCAAAGGAAAAGUGUUUAAAGAAAGUUUUGAUAAAUGAAAAAAUGUUGAAUACAUUUUUUCAAAGGAAAUGUGUUUAAAGUUAGUUUUCAUAAAUGAAAAAAUGUUGAAUAGUUUUGCACGACAAACUGGUGAAAUUUUUAUUUGAAAUAUUUUACGAGUGAUGAUUAUGCUUGAUCAAACUACUAUUAUAUUGUUAUAAAAUGUUAAAUUACAGGGAAUAAGUGUUUUAUUGAAGUUAUGCUAUGAAGUGUUUUAAAAAGAGAAUAUUUUAUUUGAUUCAAACUCACUAUAUGUUUACGAUUGUAGGGAAGAAGAUUGAAUCUUUAAGUAACUAAAGACAAAAAUAAAAGAUUUUUUUAGGAUCCUAAUUUUCUUUUUUUUAAACUCUAUUAUUUUUGUUGGUAGUUUAUGGUAACAUUAUUUGCCUUAAUUGGGCUCAAAAUAUGUUGGAGAAAUUUAUUUGUAGGAUUAGUAACUAAGACUCCAGUAUCAUUUUUUAAAAUAAAUGCAUGCGUGAUACCUCCUGUUACCCUACAUAAUCCUUAACAUGCACUGUAGCUAUGUUUGCUCCCUAACUGUGUGUGCCAUGUGACUCAAAUUAUCCAAGUAUUUAUUAUUUGGUUCAUUUUACCGAGUAUAGUUUUAACCCUUACUAAUCCUUAUCCUUUUAUUUUACAUGUAAUCCGGAGUUGUGGUUUCGCAUUGGAACUCGUUUUGACCCAAUAUGUGGUUAAUAGCUACUAGGAGUACAGAGCCUCAGAGUCCCGCAGAUUAGGAGCCUAAAUUCCCCAAAUGGGAUUUUUAUAUUCCUUUUCCUCUUUAUAUUUUAUUUACAUUCGGCAUAUUGAUUCUUUCGUUACAACUAACUCUCAUUGUCAAUUUUGCUUAAGGUAGUUUUAUUUGAUUGUUU
rnacentral:lncRNA from 1 species